rnacentral:rRNA from 1 species
UUGGACGGUCAUAGGGGCUUGGAUCACUGAAACUCAUCUCGAACUUCACCGUUAAGCAAGCCACCGUUUCUGGGUGUACUGUGCUCAUACAUGGGAAACCAGGAAAGCUGUCCAAA